GGCCUGUUGGUCUACGGGUAUGAUUCCUGCUUUGGGUGCAGGAGGUGCCGGGUUCAAAUCCCGGACAGGCCC